ACACUGCUGAAGAGUCCCAUAAUAGGACGAAACGGCCGUCCAGUAC
rfam:Schistosoma rodhaini strain Burundi genome assembly, scaffold: SROB_scaffold0020423